CUGAAAGCUGGACCUCUUCCACAUCUUUCAGAAUACUGACUUCAGUUCCUGUUAACACACUUAUCUUUAGACAUCAUGGGACCCAGUCCAGUUGAAAGGUGUGCUUCUGACUUUCUAUAUUUUUCUGGACACCAUAUCUAAGCUUCAGUCUUACUUUGGAACCUUCUUCAGAGAUUGGAGCCUUUUCAUCCUGGAAUAUUCAAUCAUUUCUGUGGUUUCCUCACAGUGGAAUAUCAUCCCGUCAUGUUGGCCCCCUUCACCCUUUGGAUUGCUGAAAUAUUCCCAAGUUAUCAAAUGCCUGAGAAUUUCACUUAGGAAAGGGA
rnacentral:lncRNA from 1 species